UUUCCCCUGAAUCUAGCAUAUCAAUAAGCGGAGGAAAAGAAACCAACAGGGAUUGCCUCAGUAACGGCGAGUGAAGCGGCAACAGCUCAAAUUUGAAAUCUGGCUCUUUCAGGGUCCGAGUUGUAAUUUGUAGAAGAUGCUUCGGGUGUGGCUCCGGUCUAAGUUCCUUGGAACAGGACGUCAUAGAGGGUGAGAAUCCCGUAUGUGACUGGCUGCCUCCCCCAUGUGAAGCUCUUUCGACGAGUCGAGUUGUUUGGGAAUGCAGCUCAAAAUGGGUGGUAAAUUUCAUCUAAAGCUAAAUAUUGGCCAGAGACCGAUAGCGCACAAGUAGAGUGAUCGAAAGAUGAAAAGCACUUUGGAAAGAGAGUUAAACAGUACGUGAAAUUGUUGAAAGGGAAGCGCUUGCAAUCAGACUUGCGCGCGGUCGAUCAUCCGAUGUUCUCACCGGUGCACUCGACCGUGCUCAGGCCAGCAUCGGUUUCGGUGGUUGGAUAAAGGCCUUGGGAAUGUGGCUCUCUUCGGGGAGUGUUAUAGCCCUCGGUGCAAUGCAGCCUACCGGGACCGAGGACCGCGCUUCGGCUAGGAUGCUGGCGUAAUGGUUGUAAGCGACCCGUCUUGAAACACGGACCAAGGAGUCUAACAUCUAUGCGAGUGUUUGGGUGUCAAACCCAUACGCGUAAUGAAAGUGAACGGAGGUGAGAACCCUUAAGGGUGCAUCAUCGACCGAUCCUGAUGUCUUCGGAUGGAUUUGAGUAAGAGCAUAGCUGUUGGGACCCGAAAGAUGGUGAACUAUGCCUGAAUAGGGUGAAGCCAGAGGAAACUCUGGUGGAGGCUCGCAGCGGUUCUGACGUGCAAAUCGAUCGUCAAAUUUGGGUAUAGGGGCGAAAGACUAAUCGAACCAUCUAGUAGCUGGUUCCUGCCGAAGUCCCCCCUCAGGAUAUUAC
rnacentral:rRNA from 1 species